AACUACAAAAAAAAAAAAAAUCACAGAAGGCUCUAUCAGAAGAUCUCCCAAAUGAUUAAGAAUGACAACCCCAUACAGAAAAUGAAGCCCUUCAAGAGGUUUGAGAUAACCCAAAAGAAGAGAGAAUUUAUUUGCCCUAUUUCAGGAAGGCUUUUGAUACCAUGUGAUACAGAAGAACAAUGUCCAAGUACAGGAUAGACAAGAAGAGAAAGAGAAAAAGGAAGAGAGAGGGGAGCUGUAAAGAGGACUACCAGAAAUUUCCAGAUGGGCAAUUUUGGUGGCCUUUAAAGUGAAGUUGAGGGAACUUCAAGAUGAUUACCCUGACUUGAGACUGGAAAGUACCCUUAGCACUGUUCUGGAUGGAGCUUAGAGUGCCGGGCGCAUGCAGCCUCACUGAAGCUGAAAUUGAAAGUUGGCUCUGAAAUAACGGAUUUUAUAAAAUUCGGAAAGACAACAGAGCAAAAAAAUGCUUGUUGGAAUAGCCCUGCUGAUUAUAGCUAGCAGGUGUUAUCUUGGAAGAGGAUGGAAAAUGACACAGAGCCAAGAGUUGUUUUGGAUAGCUAAAGUGAAUUCAAAAAUAGACGAAGAUCUGCCCACACGUUAAGAAAAUCCUCAAAGACAAGACAACUGUCAAGGCCUCUGCAGAGCUGCAGUCUCAUUUCAACCACUUCCUAAACAUCACUGCUGAAUCCAAGCCUUCAGGUACCUCCACCAUCUACACUGACCCCUCUGGCUCCACCCUAAACUCACUCUUCGUUUGGAUUUCUCUACCUCCCUAAGGUGUCACCCAGUCACCCAGACUUGGAAGCGCAGGGGCAAGCGGUUACCUCAAGAAGAUAAUUUUGGAGAACAAGAAAAACCAUGGAGGAAACAAAAUGGGCUGCUGAGAUGGAGGAAGAGGAAGGCAGAGGCUGGUUUAGAUAAGAUGCUAAGGGAAAGCAUCUCAGGUUGAACUUGAAUGUUCAGAAAGAGCCAGCCAUGUGUAAAAUCAGGGAAAUUGUUCCAAGCAGAGAAGACUGCAGAUGAGAAAGAUCCUACUGGGUCCACCAGCCUGGCAUGCCCUAGAAACAGAAGAGAGGCCAACAGAUGAGCAAAGGAGGGGAAAGUGGAAAGAAAGGUGGCCAUAGGGGCCCAAGCACAGAGGUCUUGUUGCCAUGUCCCUGAGAGGUAGUUUUGUUGGAUUUUCCCCAGUUGUUGGUUGCCUGACCCUCCAGAUCUUUUGUACUGUUCAUCGCACUGACCUUCCCCUUAGUCCCCUCUGGGCUGAUUUGUCCUCCCCUAACCCCUAGACGCACCUAUUUCGGUGGCAGGAUAUGGUUAUGGACUGUUGGAUUCCACUCACUGCCCAUCUCAUGGUCAUUACAUGGGCAAUACCCAGUCAGCACACAUCCAGGGAGGGAUGGUGCCCAACCAAGUUCUAUUUAACUUUCAAAGCCCAAUUCCCAUACCAGUUUCUUCAGGAUGUUUUCCUAAAUGAUCCUAGCUAGAGAAAGACCCUUUCCCAGUACCCUGCCUUGGUCUGAGCCAUCGCAUGCUAGUUUGUACUGUGGUGUCACCUUCCCUUGCAGAUUGCAUGCUUUUGAUAGUAGAGACCAUGUCGGCUAUGAUUUUGUUUUGCUUGGAUUAAACAGCAUAGUGUCUUGCUCUCAGCAGCCAUGUGACAAUAACUGUGUUUUGAAGAAUAAACUCUUUGUGAUGGUUUCUGGCUACUGUCA